rnacentral:rRNA from 1 species
CCUACGGGAGGCAGCAGUGAGGAAUAUUGGUCAAUGGGCGGGAGCCUGAACCAGCCAAGCCGCGUGAGGGAAGAAGGUACAGCGUAUCGUAAACCUCUUUUGUCAGGGCACAAAGGCGGGGACUAGUCCCCGGAUGAGGGUACCUGAAGAAAAAGCAUCGGCUAACUCCGGGCCAGCAGCCGCGGUAAUACGGAGGAUGCGAGCGUUAUCCGGAUUUAGUGGGUUUAAAGGGUGCGCAGGCGGCCUGUUAAGUCAGCGGUAAAAGCCCGGGGCUCAACCCCGGCGAGCCGUUGAAACUGGCUGGCUGGAGUUGGAGAGAAGUACGCGGAAUGCGCGGGGUAGCGGUGAAAUGCUUAGAUAUCGCGCAGAACCCCGAUUGCGAAGGCAGCGUACCGGCUCCACACUGACGCUGAGGCACGAAAGCGUGGGUAUCGAACAGGAUUAGAUACCCUAGUAGUC